rnacentral:rRNA from 1 species
GCAAUACACGAGCGGCAGACGGGAGAGUAACACGUGGGAACGUACCCUUCAGUUCGGAAUAACCCAGGGAAACUUGGACUAAUACCGAAUACGUCCGUAAGGAGAAAGAUUUAUCGCUGAAGGAUCGGCCCGCAGCUGAUUAGCUAGUUGGUGGGGUAACGGCUCACCAAGGCGACGAUCGGUAGCUGGUCUGAGAGGAUGAUCAGCCUCACUGGGACUGAGACACGGCCCAGACUCCUACGGGAGGCAGCAGUGGGGAAUAUUGGACAAUGGGCGCAAGCCUGAUCCAGCCAUGCCGCGUGGGUGAUGAAGGCCCUAGGG